rnacentral:rRNA from 1 species
ACUGCCUCUGAUACUGUCAGUCUAGAGUAUAGUUGAAGUUGGCGGAAUGUGUCAUGUAGCGGUGAAAUGCUUAGAUAUGACACAGAACACCGAUCGCGAAGGCAGCUAGCUAAGCUAUAACUGACGCUCAUGCACGAAAGCGUGGGGAUCAAACAGGAUUAGAUACCCUGGUAGUCCACGCUGUAAACGAUGAUUACUCGAUGUUGGCGAUACACAGUCAGCGUCUGAGCGAAAGCAAUAAGUAAUCCACCUGGGGAGUACGAUCGCAAGAUUGAAACUCAAAGGAAUUGACGGGGGCCCGCACAAGCGGAGGAGCAUGUGGUUUAAUUCGAUGAUACGCGAGGAACCUUUACCUGGGCUCGAACGUAAGAUGACUGUAGGUGAAAGCUUACAUCUCUUCGGAGCAUUUUACGAGGUGCUGCAUGGUUGUCGUCAGCUCGUGCCGUGAGGUGUCGGGUUAAGUCCCAUAACGAGCGCAACCCCUACCUUUAGUUGCCAUCAGUCAUGCUGGGGACUCUAAAGGAACUGCCCUACGCAAGUAGUGAGAAGGCGGGGGAUGACGUUCAAAUCAGCACGGCCCUUACGUUCCAGGCUACACACGUGCUACAAUGGACCGAUACAGAGGCAGCUACCUGAUGAACAGAUGCAAAUCCUCCAAGUCGUCCUCAGUUCGAUCGGAAUCUGCCACCCGA